rnacentral:misc_RNA from 1 species
UGGCUCUGGCAUCGAUGAAGAACGCAGCGAAAUGCGAUAAGUAAUGUGAAUUGCAGAAUUCAGUGAAUCAUCGAAUCUUUGAACGCACAUUGCGCCCGCCAGUAUUCUGGCGGGCAUGCCUGUUCGAGCGUCAUUAACACCCCUCAAGCCCCCGGGCUUGGUGUUGGGGAUCGGGAACAGCGGAUCGGCCCCCCGGGGCCGCGAAGCCCCCGUCCCCCAAAUGCAUCGGCGGUCACGCCGCGGCCUCUUGCGCGUAGUAGCUAACACCUCGCGCCGGAGCCCGUCGUGGUCCACGCCGCUAAACCCCCGACUUUUUACAAGUUGACCUCGAAUCAGGUAGGACUACCCGCUGA